rnacentral:rRNA from 1 species
UACAGGGGGUGCAAACGUUGCUCGGAAUCAUUGGGCGUAAAGCGCACGUAGGCGGUUCGUUAGUGUCGGAUGUGAAAGCCCUUGGCUUAACCGGAGGAAGUGCAUCCGAAACUGGCGAGCUAGAGUAACUAAAGAGGAUCGCGGAAUUCCCGGUGUAGAGGUGAAAUUCGUAGAUAUCGGGAGGAACACCGGUGGCGAAGGCGGCUCACUGGCCCGGUACUGACGCUGAGGAGCGAAAGCGUGGGGAGCAAACAGG